GUGGUAAACGGCUGUGUGUCAGACUCAGAACACGGAAGUUGAAACCGUGCCGGAUCUCAAUGGACUGGAAAGACAGUGAAGGUGUUUAUUCCUCAAGGAGGAGCUGAGGAGUUUGUCUGAAGAGCUGGCUCAGUGUCAGACUCAGGAGAAUGAGGAUCUGCGACGAGCCCACGCCAAGCAUCACGACCGGCUGCGUGUCAUUCAGACCAACUACAGAACGAUGAGCGAGCGGCUGAAGGAAGCUGAAGACA